AGUGGACGCGAGCAUCUUUGUGGCCAAGUUUUUUAGGGCACACGGUGGAUGCCUUGGCAUCAGGAGCCGAUGAAGGACGUGGGAGGCUGCGUUAAGCCUCGGGGAGUCGCCAACCAGACGUUGAUCCGGGGAUGUCCGAAUGGGGAAACCUGGCACCAGUCAUGUGGUGUCGCCGCCGUCUGAAUGUAUAGGGCGGUUGGUGGUAACGCGGGGAAGUGAAACAUCUCAGUACCCGUAGGAAGAGAAAACAAAAUGUGAUUCCGUGAGUAGUGGUGAGCGAAAGCGGAUGAGGCUAAACCAUGCGCGUGUGAUAGUCGGCGGGCGUUGCGUGUGUGGGGUUGUGGGACCUUCUUGUGGUUUCUGCCGGAGCCAUGGACAGUGAUAAAUCGGUGGGGUAGUCGAAGCCUCUGGGAAGGGGCGCCGUAGACCGUGAGAGCCGGGUAGGCGAAAUUCUGCCGACUGUUUGAGGGGAUCCCAAGUAGCACGGGGCCCGAGAAAUCCUGUGUGAAUCUGCCAGGACCACCUGGUAAGCCUGAAUACUCCCUGGUGACCGAUAGUGCACGAGUACCGUGAGGGAAAGGUGAAAAGCACCCCGGUGAGGGGUCGUGAAAUAGUACCUGAAACCGUGUGCCUACAAGCCGUAGGAGCGUAGGCGGAGCUUGCUUCGUCUGUGAUGUGACUGCGUGCCUUUUGAAGAAUGAGCCUGCGAGUCAUGGUGUGUGGCGAGGUUAACCCGUGUGGGGGAGCCGUAGCGAAAGCGAGUCUGAAUAGGGCGUUUGAGUCGCAUGCUGUGGACCCGAAGCGGGGUGAUCUACGCAUGGGCAGGUUGAAGCGCGGGUAAGACCGUGUGGAGGACCGAACCCACCAGGGUUGAAAACCUGGGGGAUGACCUGUGUGUAGGGGUGAAAGGCCAAUCAAACUCCGUGAUAGCUGGUUCUCCCCGAAAUGCAUUUAGGUGCAGCGUUGCGUGUUUCUUGCCGGAGGUAGAGCACUGGAUGGCUGAUGGGCCUUACCGGGUUACUGACGUCAGCCAAACUCCGAAUGCCGGUAAGUGAGAGCGUGGCAGUGAGACUGCGGGGGAUAAGCUCCGUGGUCGAGAGGGAAACAGCCCAGACCACCGACUAAGGCCCCUAAGCGUGUGCUAAGUGGGAAAGGAUGUGGAGUCGCAGUGACAACCAGGAGGUUGGCUUAGAAGCAGCCAUCCUUGAAAGAGUGCGUAAUAGCUCACUGGUCAAGUGAUUCCGCGCCGACAAUGUAGCGGGGCUUAAGUACGCCGCCGAAGUCGUGGCACUCACAUAUUAAGCUCGGCGCCUUUGCGGGCGUCCAGGUGUGUGGGUGGGUAGGGGAGCGUCGUACAGGCGGUGAAGCAGCCGGGUGACCGAGUUGUGGAGGCUGUGCGAGUGAGAAUGCAGGCAUGAGUAGCGAAUCAGAAGUGAGAAACUUCUGCGCCGGAUGACCAAGGGUUCCUGGGCUAGGUUAAUCCGCCCAGGGUAAGUCGGGACCUAAGGCGAGGCCGACAGGCGUAGUCGAUGGACAACGGGUUGAUAUUCCCGUACCCGCGGGCGCGCGCCCAUAUCGAAUCCAGUGAUACUAAGGGUCCUUAGCCCCUCAGGUUCUUCGGAGUCUGGGUGAGGGUGAACGCCUGGCCUGAUCUGGUAGUAGGUAAGCGAUGGGGUGACGCAGGAGGGUAGCCCAUCCCAGGCGAUGGUUGUUCCUGGGGUAAGCAUGUAGGGAGUGGCAUAGGUAAAUCCGUGCCGCGUGAAUCCUGAGAUGUGAUGCCGAGCCGAUUGUGGUGAAGUGGGUGAUCCCAUGCUGCCGAGAAAAGCCUCUAGUGAGUGUGCCGGCGGCCCGUACCCUAAACCGACUCAGGUGGUCAGGUAGAGAAUACCGAGGCGAUCGGGUGAACUGUGGUUAAGGAACUCGGCAAAUUGCCCCCGUAACUUCGGGAGAAGGGGGGCCUCUGCUGGUGAUGGGUCUUUGCGCCUGGAGCUGGUGGGGGUCGCAGUGGCCAGGGGGAAGCGACUGUUUACUAAAAACACAGGUCCGUGCGAAGUCGUAAGACGAUGUAUACGGACUGACGCCUGCCCGGUGCCGGAACGUUAAGGGGACCGCUCAGCUCAUUUCGGUGGGCGAAGGUGAGAACUUAAGCGCCGGUAAACGGCGGUGGUAACUAUAACCAUCCUAAGGUAGCGAAAUUCCUUGUCGGGUAAGUUCCGACCUGCACGAAUGGCGUAACGACUUCCCCGCUGUCUCAACCACAGACCCGGCGAAAUUGCACUACGAGUAAAGAUGCUCGUUACGCGCAGCAGGACGGAAAGACCCCGGGACCUUCACUACAGCUUGACAUUGGUGUUUGGGACGGCUUGUGUAGGAUAGGUGGGAGACGGUGAAGCUGGGACGCUAGUUCUGGUGGAGUCAUUGGUGAAAUACCACUCUGGUCGUUUUGGAUGUCUAACCCGCGCCCGUGGAUCCGGGUGGGGGACAGUGUCUGGUGGGUAGUUUAACUGGGGCGGUUGCCUCCUAAAGGGUAACGGAGGCGCCCAAAGGUUCCCUCAGCCUGGUUGGCAAUCAGGUGGUGAGUGUAAGUGCACAAGGGGGCUUGACUGUGAGACCGACGGGUCGAGCAGGAGCGAAAGCUGGGACUAGUGAUCCGGCGGUGGCUUGUGGAAGCGCCGUCGCUCAACGGCUAAAAGGUACCCCGGGGAUAACAGGCUGAUCUUCCCCAAGAGUCCAUAUCGACGGGAUGGUUUGGCACCUCGAUGUCGGCUCGUCGCAUCCUGGGGCUGGAGUAGGUCCCAAGGGUUGGGCUGUUCGCCCAUUAAAGCGGUACGCGAGCUGGGUUUAGAACGUCGCGAGACAGUUCGGUCCCUAUCCGCUGCGCGCGCAGGAGACUUGAAGGGGGCUGUCCCUAGUACGAGAGGACCGGGACGGACGAACCUCUGGUGUGCCAGUUGUUCUGCCAAGGGCAUGGCUGGUUGGCUACGUUCGGGAGGGAUAACCGCUGAAAGCAUCUAAGCGGGAAGCCCGCCUUGAGAUGAGGUCUCCCACCCCCGUUAAGGGGGGUAAGGCUCCCAGGUGAUGACUGGGUUGAUAGGCCGGGUGUGGAAGCAUCGUAAGGUGUGGAGCUGACCGGUACUAAUAGGCCGAGGACUUGACCACAG
rnacentral:rRNA from 1 species